GAACGCGAUUCGGGUGUUUGAGUUGUCACCCUGGACAACCAGACUUUCACCUAUGAUGUUCUUGCGAACUAUAGAGAGCAAGUCUUGUAUCAGAUCAACGAAAAAGACAAAACCUGCCA